rnacentral:piRNA from 1 species
UUCCAAAUAAUGGAUUAUUUCACC